GACGGAGGAUGCAAGCGUUGUCCGGAAUUAUUGGGCGUAAAGAGCUCGUAGGCGGUUUGUCGCGUCGGCUGUGAAAACUCGGGGCUCAACCCCGAGCCUGCAGUCGAUACGGGCAGACUAGAGUGCUGUAGGGGAGACUGGAAUUCCUGGUGUAGCGGUGAAAUGCGCAGAUAUCGCUUGGAACGCCGAAGGUGAAAACAGGUUGCUGGGGAUGUGCCGACGCUGAGACACGAAAGCCAGGGGAGCAAACGGG
rnacentral:rRNA from 1 species